rnacentral:rRNA from 1 species
UUAGCGCGCAGGCCGGAGGCUGGCCCCCCACGAUAGGGCCAAACGUCCGUCAGGGGUGAGCAGAUGUGCGCCGGCCGUACCGCCCCAUUCUUGUCUACAUUACUCGGUUGCCUCGGCGGGCCGCGCUCUCCCAGGAGAGCCGUUCGGCGAGCCUCUCUUUAGUGGCUAAACGCUGGACCGCGCCCGCCGGAGGACAGACGCAAAAAAAUUCUUUCAGAAGAGCUGUCAGUCUGAGCGUUAGCAAGCAAAAAUCAGUUAAAACUUUCAACAACGGAUCUCUUGGUUCCGGCAUCGAUGAAGAACGCAACGAAAUGCGAUAAGUAAUGUGAAUUGCAGAAUUCCGUGAAUCAUCGAAUCUUUGAACGCACAUUGCGCCCCCUGGCAUUCCGGGGGGCAUGCCUGUUCGAGCGUCAUUUCAGCCCCUCAAGCCCGGCUUGUGUGAUGGACGACCGUCCGGCGCCCCCGUCUUUGGGGGUGCGGGACGCGCCCGAAAAGCAGUGGCCAGGCCGCGAUUCCGGCUUCCUAGGCGAAUGGGCAACAAACCAGCGCCUCCAGGACCGGCCGCCCUGGCCUCAAAAUCUGUUUUAUACUUAUCAGGUU